AGUUUGAUCCUGGCUCAGAUUGAACGCUGGCGGAAUGCUUUACACAUGCAAGUCGAGCGGCAGCGCGGGGGCAACCCUGGCGGCGAGCGGCGAACGGGUGAGUAAUGUAUCGGAACGUACCCUGUCGUGGGGGAUAACACAGCGAAAGCUGUGCUAAUACCGCAUACGACCUGAGGGUGAAAGCGGGGGAUCGCAAGACCUCGCGCGAUAGGAGCGGCCGAUAUCGGAUUAGCUUGUUGGUGAGGUAAAGGCUCACCAAGGCGACGAUCCGUAGCUGGUCUGAGAGGACGACCAGCCACACUGGAACUGAGACACGGUCCAGACUCCUACGGGAGGCAGCAGUGGGGAAUUUUGGACAAUGGGGGCAACCCUGAUCCAGCCAUUCCGCGUGAGUGAAGAAGGCCUUCGGGUUGUAAAGCUCUUUCAGCAGGAACGAAACGGUGGCUACUAAUACUAGCUACUAAUGACGGUACCUGAAGAAGAAGCACCGGCUAACUACGUGCCAGCAGCCGCGGUAAUACGUAGGGUGCGAGCGUUAAUCGGAAUUACUGGGCGUAAAGCGUGCGCAGGCGGCUUUGCAAGACAGAUGUGAAAUCCCCGGGCUCAACCUGGGAACUGCAUUUGUGACUGCAAGGCUAGAGUACGGCAGAGGGGGAUGGAAUUCCGCGUAUAGCAGUGAAAUGCGUAGAUAUUAGGAGGAACACCAGUGGCGAAGGCGACUUACUGGACUGUAACUGACGCUGAGGCGCGAAAGCGUGGGGAGCAAACAGGAUUAGAUACCCUGGUAGUCCACGCUGUAAACGAUGGAUACUAGGUGUGGGAGGUAUCGACCCCUUCCGUGCCGCAGUAAACGCAAUAAGUAUCCCGCCUGGGGAGUACGGCCGCAAGGUUGAAACUCAAAGGAAUUGACGGGGCCCGCACAAGCAGCGGAGCAUGUGGUUUAAUUCGAAGCAACGCGAGAACCUUACCAGAACUUGACAUCGUCUGCAUUACCCGUACGGGGGAAAUCCUUCGGACAGAUAGACAGGUGGUGCAUGCGUCGUCAGCUCGUGUCGUGAGAUGUGGGUAGUCCGCACGAGCGCAACCCUAAUGCUAGUGCAUCAUAGUUAGACUCUAGUGGACUGCGGAGACAUUCGAGAAGUCGAUGAGCGUCAGUCACAUGCCUUAAUGGUCCUGGCUAACACACACGCGUGUCUCACAG
rnacentral:rRNA from 1 species